GACAGAGGGUGCAAACGUUGCUCGGAAUCACUGGGCGUAAAGGGCGUGUAGGCGGGAUUGAUAGUCAGAUGUGAAAUCCCUGGGCUCAACCCAGGAACUGCAUUUGAAACUCCCCUUCUUGAGUACCGGAGAGGAAAGUGGAAUUCCUGGUGUAGAGGUGAAAUUCGUAGAUAUCAGGAGGAACACCAGUGGCGAAGGCGGCUUUCUGGACGGUAACUGACGCUGAGACGCGAAAGCGUGGGGAGCAAACAGG
rnacentral:rRNA from 1 species